GAGUUUGAUCCUGGCUCAGAACGAACGCUGGCGGCAGGCUUAACACAUGCAAGUCGAACGCAUCCUUCGGGAUGAGUGGCAGACGGGUGAGUAACACGUGGGAACGUACCCUUUUGUUCGGAAUAACCCUGGGAAACUAGGGCUAAUACCGGAUACGGCCGGAAGGCGAAAGGUUUACUGCAGAAGGAUCGGCCCGCGUCCGAUUAGCUUGUUGGUGAGGUAAGGCCUACCAAGGCGACGAUCAGUAGCUGGUCUGAGAGGACGACCAGCCACACUGGGACUGAGACACGGCCCAGACUCCUACGGGAGGCAGCAGUGGGGAAUUUUGGACAAUGGGCGAAAGCCUGAUCCAGCAAUGCCGCGUGUGUGAAGAAGGCCUUCGGGUUGUAAAGCACUUUUGUCCGGAAAGAAAUCCUUGGUUCUAAUAUAGCCGGGGGAUGACGGUACCGGAAGAAUAAGCACCGGCUAACUACGUGCCAGCAGCCGCGGUAAUACGUAGGGUGCAAGCGUUAAUCGGAAUUACUGGGCGUAAAGCGUGCGCAGGCGGUUUGCUAAGACCGAUGUGAAAUCCCCGGGCUCAACCUGGGAACUGCAUUGGUGACUGGCAGGCUAGAGUAUGGCAGANGGGGGUAGAAUUCCACGUGUAGCAGUGAAAUGCGUAGAGAUGUGGAGGAAUACCGAUGGCGAA
rnacentral:rRNA from 1 species